CUCUUUUUAGAAAUGAACGGAUCAAUGCACAUACUUACUUUACUUAUUUCCAUACUUUUUACCUUGAUCUUUAUACUCUGGGGUUGUUCACUGUCUUGUUUCGCAUUUUCGAUGCAGAAUGGUUUUCAAGAUAUUCGUCAACUCGCAGAUUGUAGUCUUAAACUGGAACAGAAACUUAUGAUUUUAGAUUUUAUGAAGAGAUUUGGGAAAGUUUCCUUGUGUCUUUCAAUCGGUG